rnacentral:lncRNA from 1 species
GGAAAAAUAGAGAAUAAUCAAAUACCCAUGAACAUAUAAAUUAAAAAUAAACAAUUAAAACGAUCUCACAGUUAUGGUGCCCCGAUCCUUGAUUUACUCCUCAACUAGAUAAAAGAACUAGCCUUGCCGCAUAAUCAUGAAGCAAUUCGGAGUUUUCAUGGAGUUUUUGUUGAUUGAGGGAGUAGUAAAAAGCAUCGGCCGCCACUCACUACUUGCGUUCAAAAGGAAAAAGAAAGAAAACAAAGAGACUAAGUCCAAGACGAAGAUGCCCUAGUCUAUUGCUGUCUUUUUAUUUAUAGUGUUGCUGCCAAAAGUCUUCAUUCAAAAGGCUUCCUAAUCCCACGUAAGUUCAGAAUUUGUUUCCAAAGAAAGGUGGUAGUCCAAGGGAUAGGACCCGCGGUCCGUCUUUUUCACGCAACUCUACCUUGUCUGGCGUGGGCACGCCUUAUAAUGCCUAGUCUUCUGGAAUUUGUCUCUUUUUGUCACUUUUAACACCACUUCGCCUGCAAAUAACACAAAUACCAAAUCUGAGCAGAAAUCCAAUACUUUGCCUAAUAAACUGCCAAAAUUAAGACCAAAUAACCACAAAUAAACUGCAUAAUUAUAUCCCUAUCAAAUUCCCCCACACCAAGACAAUGCUUGUCCUCAAGCAUUUCAAACUUUAAAUACACACCCAAGCGAGCAAACAUUUUUGCAGCAGUCGAAUUCAAAACAAUGGCUAUUAAUCAAAGCAACUAUUGCCAAUGUAUCAUUUAGAUAACUGUCAAGUACUGAUGACAAAUUUUACGAGAUAACUCUCCAACUAACUUUUAAAACCAACGACUUUCAAAUCCAGACUAACUAAUCUAAGAAUAGAAAAUAUCCAACCAACAUUUUUUUUUAAAAUAAUCGGUCCAACUAUUAAGCAAAAUCUCAACAUAAAGACUCAUGGAUCUGCAGGCAAUACAAUUAUUCACAAACUUUCAUGCUCGUAUACCUUUUUUUUUUUUUUUUUUUUCAUUUUUCUCAUUUUUCUCAUUUUUUUUGUUUCUUUUUCCUCUUUUUUUUUCUUCCCUCCUUCUUGAAGGAAGUGCUUAGUCUUGAGCCAUUCAAGUCUUUUGACGCGAACUCCGACAUCUCUCCAAUGAAGGAGCCCGGUUACUCAACUUUAACCGCUUAAAGACCACAUACUCAUAAUUAUCGCUGCUUUUUGACGCGAAAAUCGACACUUUAGGUGAAGACCCCCAAUUACUAGUCAAUGAUAACCAGCGGAGUAUAGCCGAAUAUUAUUCAUAAAUAAACACCCAUGUAAAAUUAAAACCAUGCAAGCCUGCUUCAUUUCCUUAACAUGGAGAACUAAGAUUAAUAAUUGAACCAGUUCACACAAAAAUGUCAGAAAAAUAUUUACAAUGCCAAGAAAAGUUAACCAAGAGAAAUGGCAAGAGUCACAAAAUCUCAAAUAUUUACCAAAGAGUCAUCCUAAAAUUUUACCAUAUCAUACUUAACAUAUUAUCAUCUAAAACCGUAACAAUAGUUAAAUUUGAAAAUCUAGCCAUUGCUUAUCAGGGCUAACCAUAAAAGUCCAAAAGGCAUGGUAAAGGUUUUUUUUUUCUUUUGGGAAGAAAGAAAAGCAGUAAGAAGGAAAAGUUAGACUACUCCCCCCCACACCUAAAGUCUACAUUGUCCUCAAUGUAAGAACGAAAAGUGGAAGUCAAGUGAAGGGAGCAAAAAACUUCCCUAAAUGAAUAAAACUGCAGCAAAACACCAUGAUAGAGGAGGUGUCAGGGACUGGCAGCGUUGUUGUAAAGCGUGACCGCGCCUUUUAAGGUAGAGUCUUCUGCCCAAGCAUUUCUACGGUGUUCAAGAGCAUCACUUAUAGGGCGCGGGCAUGCCUUGUAAAUCCAAGUCUGUGUCCCCAGAGUCGACUAGGGUUGCUGUAAGGCGUGACCAUGCCUUAUAAGGCAGAGUCUUCUGCCCAACACUUGCAAUGAAACAAAACAACCCAAAAUCAACGAAAAAUGAAAGAGAACUAUAACAAAAAAUGGAGGCCUUGGGUUGCCUCCCAAAAAGCGCCUUUUUUUAAUGUCUUUGGCUAGACGUUGCCCUGUUUAUUCACGGAGGAUAUAAUCUUGUGGCUCGUUUCAAUGCUUCGUCCUCUGUAUAAUCCUGAUAACCCUCGUAGAUAGAGUAAUCUUUGAGCACACGAGGUACGGUCUUCCAUGAAUUUGUAGAUGGUGCCAAACAUACAAGUAAUGACCUUAAGUCUUCACUCACUCCUCCAUCAAGAGCAUUUAUUGGUUCGAGAUAUUUUGUCAUCAUGACUCUUAACUUAUUCCUGUCAUGAAACUCAAAAUUUUCUGACAUAAUAAAAUCAAUCUCACUAACAGGAAUUAAAGAAUAAGAAUCAAGAGAAUAUUGAUUGAGGAAUGGAGGAGAUGUCACCGUAUUCGGCGAUUGUGCACUAGAUUUAUUCACUUGAGCAAUUUGAUGUUGGGAUCUCAUUUCUUGCAUUUUAACUUUCUUUUCAACUACAUCUUUAGAUCUGUCUUCUUGAGACUCUUGCAGUUUCAUGUCAUUUGUCAGGAUAAUUGCACUCUCAUCUUCCUCAUGAUCGAUAAUAGUCUGCGAGGGCAAUUUCUCACACAUUUGAGAAGUCAAUUGCGUUAUCCUAGAUGUUAAUUGAUUCACUUGAUUUGCCAAGUUACGCAUGCUCACUUGUGUCUCCUGAUGAAAAUCCAUUGUCUCCUGCUGAAAUUUAUAUGUCUCCUGUUGAAAUUGAUAUGUGUUAGUAGCUAUUAAUUUAACCAUUUCUUCAAGAGACAUACCUGACAUGGAUGCUGGCUGUUGCUGUUGAUAUUGAUGUUGAAAAUCUAUUGGCUCUGGCGUAUAAUUAAAAUUGGAGUUGUCCCACCAUCCCUGAUCAUACCCGUUUGAGUAAGGGUCAUACCUCAUUUGAUAUUGAGGGGAAAAAUCUCCAAGAGUGUCGAUUGGAGCACUCAGGCCAUCUUGAAAGGGGGGGUAUAUGUCGGCUGAAUAAUCUGAGGCAAAAUAACUCCCACAAUUUGCAACAGCCAAUUGAUUAUUAGAAAAAGUACGAGUCUCAUAAUCCCUUUUAGAAAUAAAAUCCAAUCCAUCACCAAAAUACGGAAGAUUAGCAGCCAUAAAUAGUAAAAAAAAAAAAAAUGGAACGAACUAAACAAAACAAACUUGUGCAAUAAAUCACUUCAAGCACCAGGUCCCCGGCAACGGCGCCAAAAUUUGGUGGGUGUCAAACCAACAAAAAUAAAAUUUAUAUUAGACCUACUACCAAAACUGAAUGAGUAUAGUGGUGAGUAGGGUCGUCUCCUCAGGGAACCGGUAGAUUUAUCACACAGGAAAAUGGGGGGAAUUUUAGCAAUAGUACCAACUAAUUAAAAAGAAAUAAAAACUGAAAUUCAAAGUUGAGUAAGAUAGCGGGAACCCAAUUACACAAAUAACAAUUAAUUAAAACAACCUAGUCAAGGAAUUAAUCUUGGCACCGAAGCACACAACUGAUCACAGAUACAAGGGACAAUUCAUAUACUCACGAAUAAACUGGUUAUAGUGGUCAAGCGACGCGCCCAACCACCAAUCUUUCCUUACUUUUAUGGUAGUCAAGAGACGCUCAUAAACUACCCUCUUGUGACUAGACAACCCAGAAACGCUCACAGGAUUUAAUGUAGCCACAGCAUUAGACAUUAGAAAGACCCAAUUCUAGAUGACAAACACACAUGCGGGUUUAUUUAGGCUAGAUUAAUUAUCCCCACGAUCCAAAUUAGACCGCUUGCGAGGCGGUGAAAUUGUCUCGUUUGUCACUAAUCAAGAUGCUUAAAGGCAACGCGCCAACAUCCUAAUUGGCUAUCAAUUAUUUAGACACUCGAAUAACAGGCCUAAUUAUCCAAUAAAUCUAAACAAUAAUAACUCAGGGAAAAUAGAGAAUAAUCAAAUACCCAUGAACAUAUAAAUUAAAAAUAAACAAUUAAAACGAUCUCACACUUAUGGUGCCCCGAUCCUUGAUUUACUCCUCAACUAGAUAAAAGAACUAGCCUUGCCGCAUAAUCAUGAAGCAAUUCGGAGUUUUCAUGGAGUUUUUGUUGAUUGAGGGAGUAGUAAAAGGCAUCGGCUGCCACUCACUACUUGCAUUCAAAAGGAAAAAGAAAAAAAACAAAGAGACAAGUCCAAGACGAAGAUGCCCUAGUCUAUUGCUGUCUUUUUAUUUAUAGUGUUGCUGCCAAAAGUCUUCAUUCAAAAGGCUUCCUAAUCCCACGUAAGUUCAGAAUUUGUUUCCAAAGAAAGGUGGUAGUCCAAGGGAUAGGACCCGUGGUCCGUCUUUUUCACGCAACUCUACCUUGUCUGGCGUGGGCACGCCUUAUAAUGCCUAGUCUUCUGGAAUUU